rnacentral:rRNA from 1 species
CCUAGCCGUAAACUUUGAUAGAAAGAUACAACUGAUAUCCGCCAGGGAACUACAAGCGCCAGCUUAAAACCCAAAGGACUUGGCGGUGCCUCAGACCCACCUAGAGGAGCCUGUUCUAGAACCGAUAACCCCCGUUCAACCUCACCACCUCUUGUUUUCCCCGCCUAUAUACCACCGUCGUCAGCUUACCCUGUGAAGGCCCGAUAGUAAGCAAAAUGGGUAAAACCCAAAACGUCAGGUCGAGGUGUAGCGCAUGGGGUGGGAAGAAAUGGGCUACAUUCUCUAAAUUAGAGCACUACGAACCACGUUGUGAAACCAACGUCCGAAGGUGGAUUUAGCAGUAAACAGAAAACAGAGAGUUCUCUUGAAACUGGCUCUGAGGCGCGCAC